rnacentral:rRNA from 1 species
GACGAACGCUGGCGGCGUGCCUAAUACAUGCAAGUAGAACGCUGAAGGAGGAGCUUGCUCUUCUGGAUGAGUUGCGAACGGGUGAGUAACGCGUAGGUAACCUGCCUGGUAGCGGGGGAUAACUAUUGGAAACGAUAGCUAAUACCGCAUAAGAGUAGAUGUUGCAUGACAUUUACUUAAAAGGUGCAAUUGCAUCACUACCAGAUGGACCUGCGUUGUAUUAGCUAGUUGGUGGGGUAACGGCUUACCAAGGCGACGAUACAUAGCCGACCUGAGAGGGUGAUCGGCCACACUGGGACUGAGACACGGCCCAGACUCCUACGGGAGGCAGCAGUAGGGAAUCUUCGGCAAUGGGCGGAAGUCUGACCGAGCAACGCCGCGUGAGUGAAGAAGGUUUUCGGAUCGUAAAGCUCUGUUGUAAGAGAAGAACGAGUGUGAGAGUGGAAAGUUCACACUGUGACGGUAUCUUACCAGAAAGGGACGGCUAACUACGUG